rnacentral:rRNA from 1 species
UACGUAAGGGGCAAGCGUUGUCCGGAUUUAUUGGGCGUAAAGAGCGUGUAGGCGGCCAGACAAGUCUGCUGUGAAAACUCGAGGCUCAACCUCGAGCUGUCGGUGGAAACUGUCUGGCUAGAGUCCGGAAGAGGAGAGUGGAAUUCCUGGUGUAGCGGUGAAAUGCGCAGAUAUCAGGAAGAACACCUAUGGCGAAGGCAGCUCUCUGGGACGGUACUGACGCUGAGACGCGAAAGCGUGGGGAGCGAACAGG